GGGGUGGGGAUGGGAGGGCGUUUUUUGUAAAUUCGGAGAUUGUGUUUAAGGAUGGCUGGAUCAGUGGAUUGAUGAAGUUUUUGUUCUUGAACUUCUUUCAUACUUUGGAAUUCAAUAAACAUUCCAGUAGAAAACCCCUGUAUGGUUCUCCAAUGAGUUAUGGGUUCAGUGGAACCUGAGCAUCGUUGGUGGUUCUUGCUUCUGCUUUGUCUCUUUUUCUAGAGUGGGACGCCAAAUUUGGCUUUUAGUUCUAUACAUACAGAUUUACCAAAUGCCUUUUUGUAUUUUUGACGUAGUUGCUCUGUAGGGUGGAACUUAUUUCUGCCUUUCAUAUAAUCAGACUCUGGUUAAAUUUGACUGUUUAAUUUAUAGUAACAGCAAAUAUCCUUAAAAGUAUCUUCCAUAAGCUGCUCAGCUUGCAUUAUUAUGGUUGCUUUCAACCUGGUGAUCAAUCCGGUUUGAGCUGGCUCUAGGUGAAACCAACUGUUCAGAGUUGAGAAAGGGAAUGAAUCAAAACCGGAUUGGCCUUUGAGCAGUUUGUUUCAAUCCACAUCAUGCCUUCCUUCGCCUGCCCUGUCACUUUUUUUUUUUCAAUUUUUAUAUGGUUCUAGCAAGGUUGAACCACACAGAUUCAGUCCAUGGAUAGGAGGGGAUUGAAACUGAUCCCCUCUGUAAGGUUUAAGGUCAGUUUGGGUCCAUGUGCCUAUGACUACGCAUGUUUCAGAUUUGAUCAUUUCUGAGCCUGUUUGGCCUGUGGCCAAUAUGUGGAUGAGUGUACAAACUCUUAUUGUUCUGCUAACUGGAACUUUGGAAGUAAAACAUCCUAAAAAAAA
rnacentral:misc_RNA from 1 species